UACGUAGGGUGCGAGCGUUAAUCGGAAUUACUGGGCGUAAAGCGUGCGCAGGCGGUCUGCUAAGUCCGAUGUGAAAUCCCCGGGCUCAACCUGGGAACUGCAUUGGUGACUGGCAGGCUAGAGUAUGGCAGAGGGGGGUAGAAUUCCACGUGUAGCAGUGAAAUGCGUAGAGAUGUGGAGGAAUACCGAUGGCGAAGGCAGCCCCCUGGGCCAAUACUGACGCUCAUGCACGAAAGCGUGGGGAGCAAACAGG
rnacentral:rRNA from 1 species